rnacentral:rRNA from 1 species
UACGUAGGGUGCAAGCGUUAAUCGGAAUUACUGGGCGUAGAGCGUGCGCAGGCGGUUUUGUAAGUUUGUCGUGAAAGCCCCGGGCUCAACCUGGGAAUUGCGAUGAAGACUGCAAGGCUUGAAUCUGGCAGAGGGGGGUAGAAUUCCACGUGUAGCAGUGAAAUGCGUAGAGAUGUGGAGGAACACCGAUGGCGAAGGCAGCCCCCUGGGUCAAGACUGACGCUCAUGCACGAAAGCGUGGGGAGCAAACAGG